GGAGAGUUGGCCGAGCGGUUGAAGGCACCAGUCUUGAAAACUGGCUUAGUGAAAGCUAACUGGGGUUCAAAUCCCUAACUCUCCGCCA
rnacentral:tRNA from 1 species